ACUAACAAGGAUUCCCCUAGUAACGGCGAGUGAAGAGGGAAGAGCCCAAGAUUGAAAGCUGGCGCCUUCGGCGUCCGCAUUGUAAUCUCAAGAAGUGUUUUCCGCUUCGGACCAUGCCUAAGUCCCUUGGAAAAGGGCAUCAUAGAGGGUGAUAAUCCCGUACAUGGCAUGGAGCGCCCGAAGCUUUGUGAUACGCUUUCUAAGAGUCGAGUUGUUUGGGAAUGCAGCUCAAAAUGGGUGGUAAAUGCCAUCUAAGGCUAAAUAUUGGGGAGAGACCGAUAGCGAACAAGUACAGUGAUGGAAAGAUGAAAAGAACUUUGAAAAGAGAGUUAAACAGUACGUGAAAUUGCCAAAAGGGAAGGGUAGGAGGUCAGAGAUGCGUCUUGGGAUUCAGCCUUGCUUUUGCAUGGUGUUUUUCCCAAGUUGCAGGCCAACGUCGGUUUUGGGCACUGGAGAAGGGUGGAAGGAACGUGGCACCUCUCGGGGUGUGUUAUAGCCUUCUACUGGAUACAGCGACCGAGACCGAGGACAGCAGCGUACUCGCAAGAGCGGGCCUUCGGGCACCUUUACGCUUAGGGCGUUGGCAUAAUGGCCCUCUAC
rnacentral:rRNA from 1 species